rnacentral:rRNA from 1 species
UACGGGGGGGGGCAAGCGUUGUUCGGAAUUACUGGGCGUAAAGGGCUCGUAGGCGGCCAACUAAGUCAGACGUGAAAUCCCCAGGCUCAACCUGGGAACUGCGUCUGAUACUGGAUGGCUUGAAUCCGGGAGAGGGAUGCAGAAUUCCAGGUGUAGCGGUGAAAUGCGUAGAUAUCUGGAGGAAUACCGGUGGCGAAGGCGGCAUCCUGGACCGGCAUUGACGCUGAGGAGCGAAAAGCUAGGGGAGCAAACGGGG